CUGGAAUUAUUACUCCAGAAGGUUAUUUUAAUGUAACUCCUUAGGCCUCAGGCCUUAUUAAAGGCAAAUUUGCACAUCAUGUACACAGUAAAUCCCUCAAGGAUAAUUGUAUUUUUAAAUAUAUCUGUUGAAUUUAAGUGGAUGUUAGAUAACAUAAAUGUAUUUUGAUGGGCUCUUUAAUCAUUGAUAAACUGACGUUUCUCUUCCUCCCCGUUUUCCUCUCUUUUUCUCCCUUUCUAACUCUAAGAAAGAGAGAGAUCGAGUCCUGGCUUUAUUAGAGAUUGACCAUUCUUUAAAUUUUGAGAAGGGGGUUUCACAGACUUUUUAAAUAAAUGGAAUUUUAAUUGGCUUCAUUGUUAAGAUAUGGACUCAGGGACAGGACUUGUAUUUUUAAAAAGAAUUUAAGGAGUCCUUUUGGGUCUUUUUAAGGAGAAAGGUGUGGUAAACAUAUUUUAAAUAAACUGAUUAAAUUGUGCCAAAAAGAAAAGCUGAUUUUGUUUCUAAAGGAAUUCAGGGGAAAACUGAGUAAUGCUAUGCAAAAGUGAGGCAUAGGGUUCAUCCACACGAGGUAUGUAGCUUGGAUAGAAGAGUGCUCUCUUUCCCCCAUAGAUCUGGCACCACUCAUGGCAAGCUUCUGUACUUGUUUUAAUUUUUUCUUGAAUGUAAUCUGGAUUCUUCUAAUUUGAAUUUCUGCAUUCUAAAACAUCUCCUGUCUUCCUCCUCUCACCUCUCUCUCUCUCCUUCCCUCUCACACACCUCUCCAUUCUCUGCCCCAUCUCCACCUCUUGUCUCUUUCCUUCCCACAGAGGGAGGCAGAGACAUAUGGACAGUGGGAAUCAUCGUGAUGACUAAUCUUCAGCCGUUUCAAAUCUUGCAUACAAGAUGCAUUUUGUCACUUUAA
rnacentral:lncRNA from 1 species